AGCCCCAAGAAGAUGACCGCA
rnacentral:misc_RNA from 1 species